GAAAUCCUUCAGCAGUCGCCGCCUAUGCCACAUUAGAUUGGCAUCAACCUUUGUGCCCAUUGUGGCCCUGCUGACCUUUUCUGUGUGUAUGACCAUCGGCUUCUUCCAGCUAUGUACUGGCCGAUGUGAAGAGAUCUACACCAGGACAGGCAUGGUGGCCGAGUGGACUGGAUUCCUUGGCCUGAUAAUACACCAACUAACGAACUAUACAGAUUUCCAGCGUUUGUCUUUAACGUUGUCCCGAGAAGGUGUCUCCAUUGGCCUGAGAGAAAAGACCCAGGACCCUGAAAACCCCCAAUAAGAUCCAAGGGGUGGAGCGCCAAGA